rnacentral:lncRNA from 1 species
AUGGGGGGCUCUCAGUUUUGGAAAGAGUUACACCAUUGUAAGACUUGGGUUGAAAGACUUGUGGAGAAACAGGUUCAUAAGGGAGAUCAUGUUUUUUUCUGGAAAGAUGUGUGGUGUGGAGAUAUUCCACUAAAAAUUAGGUUCCCUGAUCUUUUUGAGAUUAGCUAUCAACAAGGGGCUCUGGUUAGUGAAGUGUUCAAUGGAGGAGAUUGGGAUCUAGAGUUUAGAAGAAAUCUAAAUUCCCAGAGAGAAGCUGAGCGCAACUUAUUCAGGGGAUUUAAAUGGGGCGUCCUGCUAGGAAAUGAGGAGCAAGCAGUGCUGGGAGGGUGGUGUGAGGCGAUUCUAAAGAAGCUUAUAAUCAACUUAGAGUUAGAACUUUGCCUGCAACUCUGUGAAUGUUCCCAAUCGACCAUAGUGUGCGGUGUGUGUUGUGGUGGGUUUCUGUUUUCCUGCUAUGCUGAAUGUUUGUAAGCUGAAAAUC